rnacentral:rRNA from 1 species
AUGAACGCUGGCGGCGUGCCUAAUACAUGCAAGUCGAGCGAACAGACGAGGAGCUUGCUCCUCUGACGUUAGCGGCGGACGGGUGAGUAACACGUGGAUAACCUACCUAUAAGACUGGGAUAACUUCGGGAAACCGGAGCUAAUACCGGAUAAUAUAUUGAACCGCAUGGUUCAAUAGUGAAAGACGGUUUUGCUGUCACUUAUAGAUGGAUCCGCGCCGCAUUAGCUAGUUGGUAAGGUAACGGCUUACCAAGGCAACGAUGCGUAGCGACCUGAGAGGGUGAUCGGCCACACUGGAACUGAGACACGGUCCAGACUCCUACGGGAGGCAGCAGUAGGGAAUCUUCCGCAAUGGGCGAAAGCCUGACGGAGCAACGCCGCGUGAGUGAUGAAGGUCUUCGGAUCGUAAAACUCUGUUAUUAGGGAAGAACAAAUGUGUAAGUAACUAUGCACGUCUUGACGGUACCUAAUCAGAAAGCCACGGCUAACUACGU